UGGGAUCAUGACCUGAGCCAAAGGCAGCUGCUUAACAACUGAGCCACCCAGGCACCACCCAGGCGCCCCCACCCCCCACAAAAAGAGAUCUUAAUGUCGAGAGCUCAUAGACUUAAGGAACAAAGUAAAAUAGGGUCAACUCAGUGCCAGUAAGUGCUGAGUGUUAGAGGCAGAAGCUGACCCUGGGGUCAAGGCUGGAAAGGGCAUUUUAAGCCAAACCCAGGGGGCAUACAAAGGCAGGAGGCGGGAAAACGAAUUUUUUGGGCCAGAUGGCUUUUUAAGCCAAGCCCAGGA